rnacentral:rRNA from 1 species
AUGAACGCUGGCGGCGUGCUUAGCACAUGCCAGUCGCACGAUGAAGCCCAGCUUGCUGGGUGGAUUAGUGGCGAACGGGUGAGUAACACGUGAGUAACCUGCCCUUGACUCUGGGAUAAGCCUGGGAAACUGGGUCUAAUACUGGAUAUGACUUCUCAUCGCAUGGUGGGGGGUGGAAAGAUUUAUUGGUCUUGGAUGGACUCGCGGCCUAUCAGCUUGUUGGUGAGGUAAUGGCUCACCAAGGCGACGACGGGUAGCCGGCCUGAGAGGGUGACCGGCCACACUGGGACUGAGACACGGCCCAGACUCCUACGGGAGGCAGCAGUGGGGAAUAUUGCACAAUGGGCGCAAGCCUGAUGCAGCGACGCCGCGUGAGGGAUGACGGCCUUCGGGUUGUAAACCUCUUUCAGUAGGGAAGAAGCGAGAGUGACGGUACCUGCAGAAGAAGCGCCGGCUAACUACGUG